rnacentral:rRNA from 1 species
AUUGAACGCUGGCGGCAGGCCUAACACAUGCAAGUCGAACGAGUGGCGGACGGGUGAGUAAUGUCUGGGAAACUGCCCGAUGGAGGGGGAUAACUCCUGGCAACGGUCGCUAAUACCGCAUCCCAUCGGAUGUGCCCAGAGGGGAUUAGCUAGUAGGUGGGGUAAAGGCUCACCUAGGCGACGAUCCCUAGCUGGUCUGAGAGGAUGACCAGCCACACUGGAACGGAGACACGGUCCAGACUACGACGGGAGGCAGCAGUGGGGAAUAUGGCACAAUGGGCGCAAGCCUGAUGCAGACAUGCCGCGUGUAUGAAGAAGGCCUUCGGGUUGGAAAGUACGUUCAGCGGGGAGGCGUUACCCGCAGAAGAAGCACCGGCUAACUCCGUGCCAGCAGCCGCGGUAAUAC